UAGGCGUGUGCCGUCGCCACGUGCGGCAGCUCUGCGGCGUGCAUGGGUUACAUUUGCCGAUAAAUAAGCAGAUUGGUCGAAGUCUUUUGAUUAGUUAGAGUAUCAUUCGGCUUUCCUGGGCUUUCGCCGGGCAUAUCCAGGUCCUUUGUAGUGGAAUGCUAUGUAAUUCAAGCAUGACGAUCAGAAGAAAUGUGGAGAACUUGCACCCACUUUUCUGACAUAAAAUGGAACUUUUCACGCUCUCAUUUGUAUGGCACGUACGAAACAGUUCAUGUCCGCGUUUUUCAACUUUUUUACGCACAUCUAUCUAUAGAUUGGAACAAGGUUACAAACUUAAUCAUGUCUUAAUCAAAUGACAUAUCAAAUAAAGAAGAAAGAUUUUUUUAAAAGAAAAUGCACGAAAUCUAUGCAAGAUCUAGACUGAGAUUUAGCGAUCCGGUUAGAACAAAUUAUCAAAAAAUUCCUUUCCUUUUUGUGUCUAAAAUUUUCUUUUCUUUUGCGGGCGAUAAAAUUUCUCUUUUCUUUUUGUGUCAGUAGACAAAUAAACCACUAAAACAAUGGGUCUGCUUCAGUACACCCCCUCUCAAAAAUAAGAAAGAGUGGCUACGUUUGCUUCCCUAGGAAUAUAUUAUGUAUACACUCUUUCCUUUUCACGAAUUAACGUAUGUACAUUCCGUUUGUAAAAAAAAACAUCAAAUCAAAGUGUACCAAAUUCAUGUGCAUUUUUCUUGUCCAUUCUUGUCCUAUUUUUAUUUUCCCUCAAAACUGACGUCUUCAGAAUCGUGCCAUGAUUAAAUGCCUCUGAUUCUGAGUAACCACUUUGCCGGUCUCUGUGAUCCUACCAAACCCUAUACGUGUACUGUAUAUAGCUAGGCACCGGUCGCCUACACAAGGGACACCGCCUAAUCACUUGCACUCUUUUGACAACCUUUUAUUGCUCUUUUCGGCGAGCCAGUCGUGGCUCGCCCUGCGUCCCGACGCGACGUCUCCGCAUCCACCGAAACCACCGGCGCGGCACACCGGUUUACGAACUUAAUUCGUCUGGCUGCGCUGGGUCCGGCACGAGAUGGAAAACGACCUCGGUUCGAACGCUCAUUCAUUUUAUAUCAAGUGUUGCCACGGUCAUCUCUGCUAGCCAGGGUAAGAGUACUCCAUUCGUUUCUUUUUAUUUCGAAUGUUAGGUUUGUCUCAAGUAAAAAAAAAGUUUGAUUAAAACUAUAGAAGAAACUAUAAAUAUUCACAAUACCAAAACAAAAUUGCAUGAUAUUAGGGAGCUAUUAUAAAAUAUUAGGGAGCUAUUAUAAAAUAUUAGGGAGUAAAUAAAUUGCAUGGAUCUUCGAUCCAUUUAAAUCGAGGGAAACGCACAUGAUGAUUUCUCUUUACGAAAUAUGUAUGUGGCAAUCGUGUGACAGAUUGCAAAAACGACCUAACGCAUCAAGUGCCGUUCGAUUUGGAUCACGCGACGCGCAAGUCUUUGCUCGAACACCGCCACAAUCCUUCGUGCGACUGCAUCCCAACUGCCCCGACGCCCAGGCCUCCCUUCCAUCCACAAACAAGGCCACUAUCCACUCUUCCUCCCGACGAGGAGGCCCGUCGGCUUGCUUUUCCUUCCUCCUAAAGGCGACGCAGUCGUCGCCCCGCUCCUCCUUCGUCCUGCGGGCGACGAGGCGAUGGGACGGGAUCCCCCGGUGUGACCUUCCUAAUUGAUGCUCCACGGCGGCGCGAUGGAGAGGGGGUGCAACACCUCGACCUCCGCCAUGCGCAGCCGCCACGGGGCCGGCGCACCCGCUGUAGUCGCAUGACGCCGCCUUCCGCACCGACUAGGUCGUCGUCGUUCAUGGCCUUAUUUUCCUGAUGAAAUCCUUCAUGCACGCACGCUCACGCCGUUGUGGAAACGGGCUUUCCAUCGGGAGGCAGAGAGAGACACAGCCGAGCCAAAAUUAUCGGGCGGCUCGAGCAGCACACUUCGUACUGAAAAGCAGUGGACGGUGGUGAGGUUAUGUGUCUCAUGGCCUUAUAUCUGAAACUUGUGAAGAAAAGCAGCAGUUUAUUAACUGAACACUGGGCAUUUAGCACUCCACAUCCUCAUCAAACCGUCACCAAAUAGCAGAGAUCCUUUUUACCUCUUAUUAAUGCUUGAUCGUUACUCCUCCUGGUGCGUUGAUCAAGCAUAUGACUCACCUGUCUAUGUGGUUUCCGACGAGAGCAAUUUCUUUCUUUCUAUACGUUUAAGUCUGAACUUGUUGUUCUAAAACUGAAAGUUGACAAUCCAGUCUAAACUAGUUAUUCUGAAACUGAAACUUGACGCUUGGCUCAUGCUAUACUAAAAACCUCUGAACUUGACGCUUGGUCGUAUGAUAUUCUUUUUGUAGUAUGCAAAUGAACUACUGAAAAGGCGUACACUAUACUACUAACGAACCUCAAUUGUACUGCUGGAAUUAGGUUUGAAAACAUCUACUACUGAAUCUGAUAUGCUAAAGGACCUCUCAACCUCAUACACUACUAAAGAACAAGUUUCAGAACCUCAAACAAUACUAAAAGCCUCUGAACUUGAGGUUUAUACUACUAAAGACUUUGACACUUAUUACUAAAAAUCCCCAUAUUCUAUACUAAAUUCAAGCUUUCGGUGUUGAUCAUAUCUCUUUCCUCGUUUCAAAUGCUUUCCCAAGCUGGUGCGCCUCAUAAUCAUUCCCCGCUUGCUAUUCAAUUAUUUCGAAGUGCUGAAGAUAUCUCAGAAGAUUCAUGAUUCCAUUCUUAAUCCGUUCAAGCUAUUUCGAGGUUGUUAAAUCAUUCAAGCCAUUUAAUUCAACCGGUGCAAUCUUUCUUUCAAGCAGUCUUUUUAGAUGGUGUUUCUUUUGAGUGGGCCCUAACCCACAGGUCUUUUCCCAGGAUCUUACCUGACUCUUCUAAUUUUUCCGGAGCUAUUCUCAAUUCUUUUUAAAGUUUGACGUAAUAAUGAAUUAUCAUCAGUCAUAUGUCUUUCUUCAAGAUCUUUCAAAUUAUUUUCUUCUUUGGCUCAACCUUUUAUCUUUUCAUUCUCCCGGAGUGUCUAAUCGAUUCAUGGUGGUGUUUCUCAUCGUCAUUCUCUGCAUUUGAAGACCGAAGAAGAGCUUUCCUCCAAAUCUUGGUUCGUUCACUUGAAGAUGCAUGGUUCCAGCUUCAUGCCAUCCUCAUAACUGUUUUCUAUCAUGAGGGAUUCUUUUCAUAUCCAUCCGAAGCAAUUUAGGGGUCUUUUCAACUUGAUUCUCCGGAGCCCAUCAUCUUAGAAUUAUUCAUUCUCCUCUUUAAGCUCUCGUUUUCCAAAUAUUACCGGUUCAUCGCUCAAGUAUUCUCUAGUCAGCUCGUGAUCUCUUCAUUCUCUUGUAUCUAAAUUUCCCAAGUAUUUUUGUUCGUUUUUUAAUUCUUCCCGGUGAUUCGUCCCUUUGCUAUGUUCUAUUUCAAUUCCUACCGGUGGUUCGCUCAAGAUUCCUUUUUCCUUUGAUAUCAUAUCAAUUCAUUGUUCUUUCCAAAAUCCUACCCGUGGUUCGUGGACGAUUUUCCCAAGUUUACGCUAUAUCUCUUCCUAAUCCUUUCUCAAAUGAGAUAAGUAGUAUGCUAAAUCCUUUGCUUGUCAUCAUUUUAAAUUGAUGAAGGAUACACAUAACAUAAUUCUUAUUCUUGUUUCAUCCAAGGGAUUAAUACCUUCCUUCGGAGUUUCUUCAUGAUGAAGUAAUUCUCGGUUUCGAGUUGUUCAUCUUUUCUUUCCAGAGAUCCAAGUUCUCUCGGUUACUUCGUCACGAAGCUCCAUCUAAAUCAUUGCAAGGCUUCAAUCUUAUUCUUUCAUCCUCCACUUCUCAUCCUUUUGUUACCGGAGUUCUUCAUGCACUAGUAGAAAAAGGGUCUAAUGUGCAUCUCAUUAGUCCCGGUUUGAAAUUGAGCCGGCACUAAUGUGACCAUUAGUGCCGGUUCCAACGGCUAGGCAGGCCACUCUCUGUAGUACUAGUUCGUGGCGAACCUUUAGCUCCGGUUUGUGCCACGAACCGGUACUAAAGAGAGUGGUGGCAGGAUGUUGUCAGACUGGGGCUCCUCCAGCACCUUUAGUACCGGUUCGUGCCAUGAACCGGUACUACAUGUCAUCCUACAUAUAAACCCUUCGUCCAGCUCACUCUGUUCUUCCCCCUUUCCCCUCUCCUCUUUGUUCUUCCCCUCUUCCCCUCGAGCUCAUCACACAUUUUGCCCAAAUUUUGUCAAGAUUUGAAGGCCCCGAUCGAUUCAAGUGAUCACAAAGGUUAGCAACUUUGUCCUUUCAUCUCUCAUUGCUAGAUUAGCUCUUGCAAUGCUUUAUAUAGUGAUUAAUUUGUGGGUUUUAGUAAUUUGGGAGGAAUUAUAUGUGGUAGUUUAUUUGAUUUAUAUGCAAUUUGAGCUUAAAAUAACUCUUAGUUUGCAUAUGUAGGUGUGGUUUACUUAGUGCCUUCCCGUCUCCAUCGUAACCACCGUCGAUCGUCCGCACCGACCUAUCGCCGGCACCACCUUGUGGUUAGCCUCUUGUUCUUAUCUUUUUUAUAUAAAAAAAAUCAUGUUUGUGUGAUUUAUAUAUAUAGUUACUUGUAUAAUUAUCUUACCCGUACGUUGUUUGUUAUACAUAGUGCCAUGGUUUUGAUAUCCGUCCCCGUCGGCCCUCGUCCGUGUUAUGAUUUAGAUGUGGUAUAUUCUCUUUUAAAACUAUUUGUUGCAUUUCGUGUUUAUGACAAAUUAUGCCCAUCAAGUUGACAUAGAUAUUUUUAUCUAGGAGGUAUGUGAACCAGAAAUACCAACCGACCCUAUUGUCGAGAGGUUAAAUUUAGUUGAAAGAGAAAACGAGUAUUUGAAAGAAAAAUUGAAAAGAAUUGAGGGGGAGAAGAUGGAAUUGGAGUUGCAUGUUGCCGAUGUCGUCGAUGAUCACAAGAUCAAGAUGGAGAAAAUGCAGUUGAAGAUUAGAAAGAUUAGAAAAUAUGCCAUUGAUAGUGAUGCUUGGUAUCAUUAUGCUGUUGGAUCAAUUAUUACCUUAGUUGCGAUCUUGAUCACAUUUGUUGUUACAUUUAAAUGCUUUAGCUAGAGAGUUAUUUGUAUGUUGCAUUUAAGUGUUGUAUGAACUUUAUGUAUGAACUAGUAUUAAUUUGGUCUAUUCGGUGGUGUGUAACGAAGAUGAGCCAGCAAUGGAUGUACGAUGACUGAUGCUCUCCCCAGUUCGUUGAUGGCGUGCAUACUCUUCUGAUUGUGGCUCAGGCAAACAAUCGGGUGGAUGGUUUUAUGCCUUGUCAACGUGCUGGCUGUAAGAAUGAUCACAAUUACUCUAACUCAAGAACCAUUCACGUCCACCUGUUUGAGUCCGGUUUCAUGCCCCACUAUAAUGUUUGGACCAAGCACGGAGAAAGAGGGGUUAUGAUGGAAGACAAUGAAGAAGAUAAGGACGACAAUAGCUAUCCUGGCCAUGGGUUCCCUGAAUACGACGAUACAACAAUGCGAGAAGAAUCUGAGCCGGCAAUGCGAGAAGCUGAAGAAGAGGCAUCAGAUGAGCCCACUGAUGAUCUAGGUCAGGCCAUUGCCGAUGCAAAGAGAAACUGCGCAAGUGAAAAGGAGAAGAAGAAGUUGCAGCGCAUGUUAGAGGAUCAAAAGAAAUUGUUGUACCCGAAUUGCAAAGCUGACAAGAAAAAGUUGGGCACCACACUGGAAUUGCUGCAAUGGAAGGCAGAGAAUGGUGUAUCUGAUAAGGGAUUUGGAAAGUUGCUGGUAAUGAUAAAUAAUAUGCUUCCAAAGGACAACGAAUUGCCCGAGAGUACGUACGAAGCAAAGAAGGAUUCUGCUCUCUAGGUUUAGAGGUGUAGAAGAUACAUGCAUGCCCUAAUGACUGCAUCCUCUACCACGGUGAGUACGAGGAUUUGAACGCGUGCCCGGUAUGCGGUGCAUUGCGCUAUGAGAUUAGCCGCGAUGACCCUGGUGAUGUCGAGGGCGAGCGCCCCAGGAAGAAGAUUCCUGCCAAGGUGAUGUGGUAUGCUCCUAUAAUACCACGGUUGAAACAUUUGUUCCAAAACAAAGAACAUGCCAAGGCGAUGCGAUGGCACGGAGAAGACCGUAAGAAAGACGGAAAGUUGAGAGUACCCGCUGAUGGGUCGCAGUGGAGAAAAAUCGAGAGAAAGUACAUGGAGGAGUUUGAAGGUGACCCAAGGAACAUGUGGCUUGGUCUAAGCGCAGAUGGCAUUAAUCCUUUUGGGGAGCAAAGCAGCAACCAUAGCACCUGGCCUGUGACUCUAUGUUUGUAUAACCUUCCUCCUUGGUUGUGCAUGAAGCGGAAGUUCAUUAUGAUGCCAGUGCUCAUCCAAGGCCCUAAGAAACCCGACAACAAAAUUGAUGUGUACCUAAGGCCAUUAGUUGAAGAACUAUUAUAGUUGUGGAAUGUAAAAGGUGUACGUGUGUGGGAUGAGCACAAACAGGAAGAAUUUGACCUAAAGGCAUUGCUGUUUGUGACCAUCAAUGAUUAGCCUGCUCUCAGUAACCUUUCAGGACACACAAACAAGGGAUACCGCAGAUGCACGCACUGUUUGUAUGAUACCGACAAUAUAUAUUUGGAUAGUUGUAGGAAGAAUGUGUACCUGGGACAUCGUCGAUUUCUUCCGAGCAGGCAUCCUAUAAGAAAGAAAGGCAAGCAUUUCAAAGGUGAGGCGGAUCACCGGAUGAAGCCUCGCCACCAUACAGGUGCUGAUGUACAUGAUAUGGUCAAGGAUUUGAAGGUAAUCUUUGGAAAGGGUCCUGGCAGACAACCUGUUCCAAAGGACGCUUACGGACGCGCACCCAUGUGGAAGAAGAAAUCUAUAUUUUGGGACCUGCCCUAUUGGAAAGACCUAGAGGUCCGCUCCACAAUCAACGUGAUGCACGUGACGAAGAAUCUUUGUGUGACCCUGCUUGGCUUCUUGGGCGUGUAUGGGAAGACAAAAGAUACACCGGAGGCACGGGAGGACCAGCAACGUAUGCACGGAAAAGAUGGCAUACAUCAGGGUCAUGCCACCUAUGCUCUUGCCAAAGAAGAGAAAGAAAUCUUCUUUGAAUGCCUGCUCAGUAUGAAGGUACCAUUUGGCUUCUCGUCGAAUAUAAAGGGAAUAAUAAAUAUGGCAGAGAAAAAGUUCCAGAGCCUAAAGUCUCAUGACUGCCACAUGAUUAUGAUGCAACUACUUCCGAUUGCAUUGAGGGGGCUUCUGUCAGAAAACGUUCGAUUAGCCAUUGUGAAGCUAUGUGCAUUCCUCAAUGCAAUCUCUCAUAAGGUAACCGAUCCAGAAAUCAUACCAUGGUUACAAAAUGAUUUGGUGCAAUGUCUUGUCAGUUUCGAGUUGGUGUUCUCACCAUCCUUCUUCAACAUCAUGACGCAUGUCCUAGUUCACCUAUGCGAAGAAAUUAACAUUUUGGGUCCUGUAUUUCUACACAAUGUGUUCCCCUUUGAGAGGUUCAUGGGAGGCUUGAAGAAAUACGUUCAUAACCGUGCUAGGCUAGAAGGAAGCAUCGCGAAGGGCCAUGAAAAUGAGGAGGUCAUUGAGUUUUGUAUUGACUUUAUUCUCGACCUUAAGCUGAUUGGUAUUCCUGAAUCGUGGCAUAAGGGCAGACUGGAUGGAAAAGGCACGCUCGGAGGGGUUCAAAUAAUAUGUACAGACGGGCAUUCUCUCACUGAAGCACGCUACAUAGUUCUACAGAAUUACGCCUUGGUGGCUCUGUAUAUGGAGGAACACAAGAAUUUUCUACGCUCCAAACACCCGGAGUAGUCUGACGACUGGAUUACACGUGAACAAACGGGGACUUUCGCCGGUUGGUUGCAGACACGUGCCAUGCAUGACGGCGAUAUUGAAGAUGACAUGUACUUGCUGUCCCAGUUACCAUCUUCGAAUAUAAUGACUUUCAAAGGGUACGAGAUAAAUGGGAAUACAUUUUACAUGAUCGCCCAAGAUAAGAAGAGCACCAACCAAAACAGUGGUGUCCGCUUUGAUGGAACAACCAAGAUGGGAAAGGAAACAUAUUAUGGUUACAUAGAGGACAUAUGGGAACUUGACUAUGGACAUGUUUGAAGGUCCCUUUGUUUCGGUGUAAAUGGGUAAAUAUGACACGAGGCGGGGUAACGGAAGACCCACAGUAUGGAAUGACAACAGUGGAUCUCAACAAUCUUGCGUAUGCAUACGAACCAUUCAUCCUUGCCAAUGAUGUGGCGCGGGUUUUCUAUGUGAAAGACAUGUCUACCAGGCCAAGAAAAAGAAAAGAUAAGGAAGCGAAUGCAUCAUACGAUGAGCCAAAGCGCCACAUAGUUCUUUUAGGAAAAAGAAACAUCGUGGGAGUGGAUGACAAGACAGACAUGUUAGAAGAUUAUGAAAAGUUUGAUGAAAUUGCUCCAUUCACAGUGAAUAUUGAUUCGAGCAUCCAGUUAAAUGAUGAAGAUUGUCCUUGGUUACGGUGCAAAGGGACACACUCGAAGAAAAAGUUUCACACCCAAAGAUCCCACUCUGGGAUGUGAUAGGCUUCACCGUCAUCACUUUCUUUUCUAGUGACUUUCCGGACUUAUAUAUCUGGAAAUCUUUGUAAUAGUUAGGGUACUUAUGUGUUUUGGCAUUUGAAACGCGAAGAAAUUUUUAUGUGCAAACAAAUUCUUCCAUGCAUUUACGGCAAAAACUGGAUGCACUUCUUCUACAAAUUAGUUCGUCAAAUAAUUCAAAUUUAAACUAUUCAAAUUUGAAAACUACUGGCACUAACAGAAAGUUUGUAGUUUUUUGUACCUAACGAAAAAAUAUUCAGAAAUAAAUAAAUGAAAAUAAAUUAAGUAGAAAAUAAAAAAACUAAAUAAAAAAGCCCACCUACUGGGCCACAGUGGCCUGCAUACGACUAGAAACCCAACCAGUAGUUGGGCCAGGAUGCAGGCCCGCAAGGCCCAAUAGGCCCAUAGGGAAGAGCGGCAGAGUUAGGCCCAGAAGCCUGCUACAAAGAGGAGUUCAACAGAGCUGCCGCACUGGGGCUUUUAAACAUGUGCGGGCGCCCCUCGGCUAGCGAGGUGGGACUAAACUUGCCCGCACCGCACCUGCGCCAGCGCACACCUUUAGUACCGGGUCGUGGCUCCAACCAAUACUAAGGGGGGGGUCUUUAGUACCGGUUGUAGCCACCACCCGGUACUAAAGGGGGUGCGCUUCCCACCGCUUCGCCUGGCCAAAACAACCCUUUAGUACCGUUUGGUGGCUACAAUCGGUACUAAAGGGGGGUUUUAUAUAAGAAACACUUCAAAAAAAUUCAGUUUCUCAUCUCUCCCUCUGCUUCUUCUCCUCUGCCCCAUCGCCGCUGCCCCUCGUCGCCGCCCCCGUCGCCGCCCUGUUGUCGCCCAUCGCCGGCCCGUCUGUCGCUGCACCGGCCCGUCGCCGUCCCCUCUGCCUCGCCGUCGCCGUCGCCGUCACCUCGACCUCGCCCGUGUUGUGAGCCCCUCUCCCCGGCCCCUCUCCUCCCUCCAAUCGAACAUGCCGCGCCACCGGCGCCAUUGGUGCACACGCGCACGCGCGUGCGCACCCACACACAUGAUUUUGUUUUUAGUUUUUUCUGUUUUAUACAAAUGUUUUAGAUGAAUUAAUUAAUUAGAUUAGAUUAAUGUCAAAUAGUAUAUAGAAAUGUUAGAAAUGUUAUAGAAAUGUUAGUUUUAGCUAGAUGAAUUAUAUUAAUUUCAAAUUGUUAUAGAAAUGUGAGAAAUGUUAUAGAAAUGUUAGUUUUUAGUUUCUUAUAAUUUUAGUUAUAGAAAUUUAGAAUUUGCAUAUAAGAAAUCACAAUCCAAUCAUGUAAAAAAUGUUACUUUUGUGGCGUAUAGUAUUUGUUCUCGACGAUGCCCGGCCCGCAUCCUCGCCGUCAACCCGUUCACGACGACGUCCUGCUUCAGAGGACCCAUGUCCGGGACUGGGCUCCGCUAGGCUGGCACUGGUAGGUGCUACCUUCAGGGGCUCGCCGCUUGGUGAGGAACCCGGGUCCCAUCGUCGACCUUGAGCUCCUUUGGUGGUGUUCCCGUGGGCCACUUUCGGUGCGGAGGGAGCCGGCCCCGUCGGAAGUGGUGCGUCGCCGUGUCAGGGAGGAGGACGAGCAUGUCCGUCGCUACAUGGGCUCUAUGGACAUCAGGUUCUCCAAUACCUGGCAGGGUCUUUGGGAGAUGAUCGGAGCUAUGAUCCUGUGAUGGUUCCUUCUCUUUGGGUGUCCACUGCCCGUGCCUCAGGAACCACGAGUGGCCUCUAUUAUUCUAUAGUAUUUGAUCUUUAUUAGCUAGCUAGCUAGUGAUGUAUUCAAUAUAUAAUAUUCAAGAUGAUGUAUUCGAGAUUAUAUAUUAUUCGAGACGAUGCAUAUUAUGUACUAUGAUUCAGGAUUUCCUUAUUGAUUGCAUGCAUGCGUUGUAAUUUGAAUACUAAAUUGUUUUAUAUUUCUUCUAGAUUAGUUAAAUAAAAUCUAUGGCGGACAAUACCGGAAGAGAGGGAGAAGAGGCCCUAUUCAAGAUCAUACGCUCCCCUCGCUCGCCAGAUGAUCGAAAUGAAGAAGAUGACGGCUCCCAAUAUAUGAACAAUAUAGGGGAGGGUGAUGAUAUGAUAUUCGAUCACGACGACCGAAUUGAUGAAGUCAUGGACGACGACUAUGAUUAUGAUGGCGAAGAAAAUAUUGAUCUUGAAAUAACAGAGACUGGUGAGGUAUAUUUAUAUAAGCAGGCAUCUGGUGAUCAUCACAUGUUUUAAAUGAUUUGAAGAUAUAAUAACGAAUCGAUGUUUCUUCUUUCAGCCCUCCGGAUCGAGCAAAUCUUCUACAGGCAGAGUGCGAGGCCCGGGCAAAAAGUUGAAGGAGGGUGUAAACUACAACAUCGAUGCCAUCAAAACUAAUGGCGAACCAAUAGCGCCUAAGAACAUUGCAAACAAGUUCGUUCGUCAGUGCAGAGUUCUUGUGAAGGACCAACUCCCGAUGUCCCUUCAAGAAUGGAAAGAGCCAACAAAGAAACGUCUAGAUCUUACUUUUAUCAACGACAGAGCAAAAACUAUGCUUUGGGAAAAUCUCAUGGAACAUUUCUCCCUACCAGAUCAUUUCACAGCUGCAGAUGUGGAGAAAGUCAAGGAUGGUGCUCUUAGGAAGAUGGAAAUUGCAUUCAACAACCACAAGAAAACUGUAUGGAAUAACUACAUCAAAGGAGGAAAGAAGACUCCAGAAUUCAAGGGAAAACUGGAGAAGCAAAGAGAACACUGGCCCGCUUUCGCGAAAUUCAAGGAAUCAGAAUUAUCUAAGGAAUGGUCCAGAAAAAACAAGGCCAAUGCCGCAAAAAAGGAGCAAUUCCAUAGGCUGGGGCCAGGUGGCUAUGCGGUGACAAUGCCUAAGUGGGAUAAGUCUGAUCAAGAGAUGCUGGCUACACAGGUCACUCUAGUUACAUUGAGCUGGCCCCCAGGUGCAGAACUUGGUUCUAUGUGCAUAGGGGGCGUUGGACCCGAAGACAGCCAGGUUUCGAAGAAGGCAUGUCUUAAAGGAGCCGAUGUUAAGUUACUUGAAGCAAUAGAAGAUGCUCGAAAGGGGGUGUUCAUGCCCAAUAGAGAGAACGACAAGCGUUGUUCCAUGGUAUGAGGGCCCUGGGAAAUCCUAAACACUCGGGAAGAACACGAGGCAAGGGCGUUGUUCUAUGGUAUGAGGGCUUUUCUGACUGGAACACCGACUACAGAAGUCGUGCGAGAAGGAAGAUGGAGGAGGAGAAGAAUAAGAAGCUGGAGGACGAGCAGAGGAAGCAGGAAGCAGAACGCCUUCAAGGCCUAGAAUCAGCGCACGCGGACUUGGUACUCAAAUUCCAGCGGCAACAACAGCAGAUCGACUCACUUAGCCAGGAAAGGGGGUCUCAGCAGUGGCAGCAACUAGUAGAUGAUCCAGCAUUGGAUAGCACCAUCCCAUCCAUGCCGAGAAGCAGCGUGGGUACCGCCCCGGGCGAUGCACUACUGGAUAGAUACCCUGUGGAUGACAUCAUGGACAACACUAACUAUGAGCUACACUUCAAAGUAAAGAACAUAUUCAUGAAGGUGGCGAACGCCGUUGCUUAUACAAAUCCCCCCGGAGCAACCUUUCAUUGCAGAACGAUUCCAGCCGACUAUGCUCGUGUCGUGGUUGAUGAGGUGGUGGACCAAUAUUCAGGGCUACAUAUUGACAUUCCUAGAGGUGACGAGGAGCACACACUGGGAGAGGCCAUACAUCGUAUCAUCCUAUGGAGAAAGGAUUGCAUCAUCUUUUGAAGGCCACCGACACCGCGUCAGCUAGAUCUUGACAUCCCAGGAGGUGACGAGGAGUAGACGACUCCCGCUCCUCCUAGUCAGGCACAACUUCGGGCCACUCCUCCUGCUUCAACUCAGCCAACAUGUGAGGCCACUCCUCCUGCUUCAAAUCAGCCAACGCGUGAGGCCACUCCUCCUCCUCCUCCAAGUCCACCAAUGCGUGCCACUCCUCCUCCAAGUCCGAUAUCGUGUUAGCCAUCUCCGCUGCCUCAGCAAUCGCGGAAGAGAGCCGCCACAGCUAUGGUGCGUAGUGCUACAAGUUGAGGUAGUACAGGAGGUACAGGCGGAGGCAAGCGAUUUCAAUAUGGUCCAAGCCUUGGGCCUCUUCCGCAGAGGCCUUACAACAUGACCAAGGAGCAAAAUGAAGCCAUAGUGAAGGUCCAAGUGGACGCCCAUUUUGGACCGAAACCGCCACCGCCGCCAAGGGAGAAAGUGCCUGAGGAUAAGAUUGGCCGCUUUAUUCAUAUGGCUAAAGCACCAGCUCCCAAGCGUGUUGACUCAGACUAUGAGCGCCAAAUAGGAAGGCACAUCGAGCACGACAAAAGGAGUCGAGCUCGAGCUCGAGCCAAGCAGCUGGCCAAAAAUGCGGGAAAACCGUUCCCCAACUAGGAGAACAGGCAGCGCAAUCGAUCCCCCCACUUAUUGUACCAACACAUGAGAGUACCGGCGCCGGUCAGCUGGUAAUAACUGACGAGCAUAGAAGGCAGGCUGAAAUGUUCGGUAUCACUGUUGGACAACUCCUCAAGAUUGAGCCCAUGCCUCUGCUUAGAGAGGAGGGCAUAAAAUGGAAAUAUGUCUGCGGCCAACCUUUGGUCAAGCCUGAGGAGGUCAAGAACUUCCCAACGAGAAUGUAUGAAAUGCAUGAUUGGUACAUGAAAAUUACCAAGAGUUCCAAUCGAGAGUCCCUCAUGGUGAAAGUCAAGGAAGAGUAUUCAUAAAUAUUUUAGUUAUUCAAUCAAGACGCACUCGACAAAGCUCUCGUCAGCUGCUAUUGUCUGUAAGUGAUUUCUUUCUAUAAUUUAAGUCUCAAGCUAGUUGUAGUGCUCAUUGAUCGAUCAUUACCUGUAAUUAUCCUCACUAUAUUCUUUUCUGUGGUAUUAUGCAGGAUGAAGAUGUAUGAAAUGAAAAAAGGUGGACGCUAUGGCAUUGGGUUCAUUGACCCAAAUACCUUUAAUAACAUGGACAUAUCCAUGGUAUCAAGCUGAAGUAGAGAAAAAAAGCUACAGUUCUUGAAUCGCCUCAAUACCAAUGAAGAUAUACUACUUCCUUACAACUUCCUGUGAGUCACACUGUCUUGUAGUACAAAUUUUGUGUUUACUUACUAGCUAGCUAGAUUUUAAUAAUUAAGUGUAUAGGGUUUAUGGUAGUUGAUGAGUGUUAUGCACAUGCCCGCUUAAUUAAGACAUGCAAACGUGUGUGCAUGCAGUUACCAUUGGAUCUUGUUAAUCAUUUAAUUUGACGAAGGAACAGUUGAAGUACUGGACUCACUACUUAAAAAAGUGACUACUCAAUCGUGAAGGGGAUAGUCGAUAGGUAAUUUCAAUCAUUAUUAACUAUAUUGUUGGCCUCUUUAGUUCGUCAUUUCCUGAUAUCAACUAUUUAAUAACUCGUUUAUUCAUUUUCUUUGCCGGCGGGCAGGGCUUGGGAAAAGUUCAGGAAUGAGGUUCCAGGUCCAUGGAAAGAAAAGUUGCAUUGGUUUCGACCCAAGGUAUAAUUAAUUAAGUAGUACUAGCUAGCUACCAUGCAUCUUUUUAAUUCUAGUUUCAAUACCAUUAAUUAUCAUGCUUGAUUAAUUAUUAUCUGAUUAAAUUCUAUUCUCGUAAAGGCCCUGAAUCAGGCAAAGGGGACUGAUGUGUGUGCAUACUACGUUUGCGAGAACAUUCGCAUGAUGGCGUUGGAAAGGACCAAAUCUGAUAGAUAGCUAUGGGUACGUUUGACAGAACAAUAUUCACAAUUUUUACAUCAUUAUCGAUAUCUAGUCACAUAACUAAUACACAUGCAUAUUGAUCUCCUUCUUAAUAGUUUGAUUCGGUGCGGGAGACGCUCCUACCAGAGGAGCGCAUACGAGUACUUCAAGAGGAAAUAGCGGGAUUUUUGCUCGACCAGGUCAUAGAUCCCAAAGGGGAAUUCUAUUACCAGCUACUGCCCCCAUGAACCACUCCCAAUUGUCAUCGUUCUCCGCAGGCACCAAGGCAAAUGCCACUGGCUCUGAAGGCAACAUGUAGGAGAAAUUGUAUAUAUACCUAAUUGUAUAUAUAUACAUGUGUAUGUGUGUGAAUAAUGGUGGUUAAUUGUGAGACAUUCACUACAAAAAAAUACACUUCCGUGAUGAUAUGUGUUUGUCACAAUAGGUCGCAUUUUUUUUCAUGCAUGUACAUCCAUGACGAUUUUAUGACAGAAUCAAGAUAGUCAUACCUGUGCUGUCGUAGAAGUGUUCCAUGACAUUACCAAAAUUAUCAUCACGAAAGUGUCCACUUCCAUGACGAUAAAUCGCACGUCACAGAAGUGCUUUCGUCAAGGGUGACCGACACGUGUCAUCCACCGUAAUGGAACGCUGUUAAGCUAUCGGGGCAGGUUUUGGAUCCGAUAACCCAUUAACAACCACGACCAAUGGGGAUUUUCCACGUGUAAAAUCAUCAUUGGCUGGAGGAAACACGUGUCGGUUCAUCGUUGGGACAGAUGUCAUCCACUCAUUGGACAGAAGGCGUCUAUGAUACGUCGACACAUGGCAUGCCCCAACACAGGCCCAUUCCUGUGAAAAGGUCGGCCCGUUUGACCUGGUCAAAAGGUGGCGGGCCGUCCCAUGGAAAGCUUGUUAAUGGCAUGUUCGCAUAUAGCCCAUUUAUAGCCCGCUAACCCAAGGCCCGUUAUGCCCUACCCGAAUUAGGCCCAGUAGCGUCAUCUGGGCCAUCCAAUAUGAUUCCAACUUGUUUUCACUUCUAGCCCAUGAUGUCUUUCGGCCCAUAUGAGGCCCUUUGUAACUCUUAGCCUAUUAAUGGCCCGUGGUGAAACUAGCCCGUAAUGAACAGUGUAUCACUUUACACCCAUUAACGACCCGUGGUGAAACUGGCCCAUAAUGAACAGUGUAUCACCUUAAACCCAUUAAUGGCCCGUUAUUCCGUUGGGCCGUUUCCAUCCCAUGUUAUCUUUCAGCCUUCUCAGAGCCCAUUUAUUCUUGGGCUCAUUUCCAGCAUUCGUUUACUUACGGCCCGUUACUGUCAUUUUCUGCUUGCGGGCCAAAUUCAGCCCGUGGUUACAGUCGGCCCGUUUUCAUAGCGUCAUCGAAUAUGGCCUAUUAACGGUGGCCCGUUAUGGUCGGCCCAUGAACGGACGAUUCCAACUCUAGCCCGUUGACGACCAUAAUGCGGUCUGUUUGGCCCAUGUUUGGCCAAUCGAUCAUACGACCCGUAUAAGGCCCAUUGAUGAUACAGCCUGCAGAAGGCCCAUUGUUUCUAUGGCCCGUAGAAGGCCCACUUUUUCUACGGCCAGUAGGAGGCCCAGUGUCACUACAGUAAAUAUUAGCCCAUGGUUAUUGUGGCCUAGUUUUAAAAAUUAGGUUAUUGCAGCCACUAGCAAACCGCGGAAAAAGAACUGCAAUGACUACAAGCAAACAAAUAAACAAGACAGUAAGGAAAUAAAUAAGCAAGCAACUAACGCUAGGCUAUCACGGCUAUUACACAUAUUACAUCCACUGGGCAUCAAAGUUCGCCAACAGUGCAAAUAUAGGGAACAAAGCAGCAUAUCAUAUACAUUGGUUGUCAAAGUUGGCGACCAGCGCAAAUAAACGCCGAAGCAAAACAAAUCCAGAACUGAAACCACUUCAGAAGAUCUCAAGAAACAAUAUCCUGGGUACCCAUAAUGCUGGCAAGAUGCUUAGCAAGCUUAUUAACUUUCUCUUGUUUGGCGCUUAAAUCCUCCAGCGCUUGCCGUUGCACCAGGAAAUAUGCAUUUGAAUUAUGCAGGGACUUCCUCAGUCCUUCAGCUUCCUGUCGCAGCACAUCUGAUCGAUGUCUUUCAACUUGAAAUUGAGACUCAAGAAGACGAACUGAUUCAGGCAGCAAGUUCGAAGAGCUUGUGCCAGCAGUAGUGGCCAUUAACUCAAACACUACAUCAAGACAGGACUUUUGGGUUCUCUCACUAUCGUCAAGAUAGUUUUUAUCAGCUUUCUUAGAGACCAACAGGGAUGUCUCACUAUCUUGAACCUUAUCUGCAUUACUUCCUUUACCAUUGGAUAACGCGGUACUGUUCUCCAAUAUUUUGUCCGCAUUCUGAAAGAGAAACAAGCAGACACAUCACAUGUUUACCAUGUUGUAUAUGAAACUCAUUUUGGUAAAUGAGUUCAGUAGUAAAGUGGAUAGGAUAACAGCAUAAAACAAACAUAUAUCUAUGUACCAUGGUCACUUUAUGGUCUAUAUCAUUCUAGUUUUUGUUGCCAAAUCAAGAUAGAGACACAAUUCAAAUAAUAUUUGUUCAAGACAAAGCAGAAUAGACAGAAUAUAAGUGUGGGUAACUAUAGAGCAAUAACAACACUUGUAAUGUGCAUGACAUGAGAACACAACUGUUUAUUCAAUUGAAACUGAAAUCAACAUAGAGCAGGUUACAACAGCAAACCAGUUAAGGAAACAAGUUUAAAACAUACCUGUUGCGCCAUUGGAGUUUCAAUUCCAUCCUUCAAAUUUUAAAAUAGUUGGUAUGAGUAAAUACAGUAAUGCAAGAGCAAAGGAGUAUGAACCAUAGCUACAGAACCUGACCUGAGAACAAAUCUUCUUCUCCUUUAAGCGUUGAGUUGGGAUUCGGAGUGGUGGUCCUCGUGCUUUGGGCACUGCAGUUCCCUUACUAACUGCUCAUGUUUGGGUGCUCUGUGGUGGAGACGGUGUUGUGUCAACUGGAACUGGGUUACUAUCUGCCGGGGUUGGGGUUAGAAGGGGUGUAGCUGGUUCUCUGUCCAACUGGGUAGGGGUAAAAUCUGCGAGAGUCUGGGUUAUGUGUGGUGGAUCUGGUCCUUGGGCAAGUACAACCGUGGUUCUAUCCUGCUUCAACUGGUAGCACUAUCUUUUCUGAAGACCGUGUUGUUACUCCCUUAGAUAUUGCCAUCACGCUCUCCAAUUCAAAUGGCUGAUAAACAAGAAAAGUAAUUGAAAGUAUAGAUAUUGUAUGAUAGAUAGGUGCAAUGGAUAGUGGGGAAUAAAAGAGGGCAUGAAAUAAUUCAUAUUUAUGUUGUCUAACCAAACAGGAUAGCAUGACACAAUUUCACAUAUAUGAUGGCUAACUAAACAGGAUAGCAUGACACAAUUUCACAUUAUGAUGGCUAACUAAAAAAGAUAGAAAGACAUAGUUCAAAAUAUGAGACUAUGUAAACAGGAUGACAUGACAUAACUAUAUAAUGUGUUUAUUAAAUAGGUUGGCAUGCCAUAAUUCACAUACAUUCACGGAUAGAAUGCCAUAAUUCAAAAUAUGAUGACUGUAAACACUAAACAGGAUGAUAUGCUAUAACUAUAUGAUGUCUCUAUUAAAUGGGUGCCCAUGCCAUAAUUCAGAUAGAUGAUGUGUAUGUACUAUGUAAACGUGAUGGCAUGAUAUAAUUCAAAUAUAUGAUUUAUAUAGUAAGCAAGUAAGCAGAUGGCAAUCCAUAUAUGAUGUAAAAACUAAGCAAUGCAAGACAACAUGCAUGACAUGGGUAAUAUAACCCUGCCAAUUUUGAGCAUAGACCUCAGGGGGAAAUAGGACUGGUCAUCAUUCUCUGAAUCCUCCUCUGAGGAGCUCUUUGUAACUAGCAAGAUGUCUGCUUCAGCAGGUAGCAUUGUCUGCUCUGAAUAUCGUGUUUUCACUCCAGAUACUUCCAUCACCGCUUCAAAUGGCUAAUGUACAGGAAGAGUAGUUGAAUAUACAAACGUUGUCGACAAAUGGAACACGUGAUACAAAAAAAUCAUAGCAUGAUAUAAUUCACAUACAUGAUGAUUGGCUAAACAGCAUGGCAUUGCAUAAUUCACAUAUAUAAUGCCUUUGCAACAAGAUAGCAUUGUAUAAUUCACAUAUAUAAUGUCUUGCAACAAGAUGGCAAUGCAUAAUUCACAUAUAUGGUAAUUAGACACUGAACAGGUGGCAUUCACACAAAGCAUGUCUAAACUAAUCAAAUGACAUAGCAANNNNNNNNNNNNNNNNNNNNNNNNNNNNNNNNNNNNNNNNNNNNNNNNNNNNNNNNNNNNNNNNNNNNNNNNNNNNNNNNNNNNNNNNNNNNNNNNNNNNNNNNNNNNNNNNNNNNNNNNNNNNNNNNNNNNNNNNNNNNNNNNNNNNNNNNNNNNNNNNNNNNNNNNNNNNNNNNNNNNNNNNNNNNNNNNNNNNNNNNNNNNNNNNNNNNNNNNNNNNNNNNNNNNNNNNNNNNNNNNNNNNNNNNNNNNNNNNNNNNNNNNNNNUAUCUGUAACCAGCGAGAUAUGCGCUUCGUCAGAUAGCAUAGUCUGCUCUGAAGACCUUGUUUUCACUCUAGAAUUUUCCAUCACCAUGUCAAAUGGCUGAUGCACACGAAGAGCAGUUGAAUGUACUAAGAUUGUUGACAAAUGUAAUAUGUAAUGGGAAAAAACGGAUGGCCUGAUAUAAUUUACAUAUAAGAUGACUGGCUAAGUAGGAUGGCAUUGCAAAAUUCACAUAUAUGAUGCCUGGCUAAACAAGAUGGCGUUGCAUAAUUCACAUAAACGAUGAAUAAACUAAACAGAUGGCAUUCACACAAAGGAUGUCCAAACUAAGAAGAUGACAUAUUUGAUGUAUAAAGUAAGCAAUGCAAGCCACCAUAUACAUGAUAUAACCAACAUCAGCAUGCCAAGUUAGAGCGAAGACCUCAGGGGGUAAAUAGGAGUUGUCUUCUCCUUCUGAAUCCCCCUCAGAACAGAUAUCUUCCUCUCGAUUACAAUCCAAAAUGCGUGGAAGGGGGCUGCCUUUGCGCCUACCAUGGAGCGACGUCUGCAUGAAAUUUUAUUGCCAUGCAAGGCUCAUCUCUUUUGCUCUACAUGUUUAGUUCCAUUGUUUACAAUAACUGUCAUGCAUAGGAAUAAAACAUAGUGAGAUUAUGUAAGGAGUGCAUGCAGAAAACCAGAGUGAUGGUAGCAACCUGUGGAUAGACCCAAAACUAAUAAUAGCAGGCAGAUAAUGGCUUCAGUUAAAAAUAUAGAUAAUGGCUUCUUUACUGUUUGUUUCCCACCCAACAUGAAACUCAUAGUAGACACCGGAGAUUAACCAGAUAGUAGAUAGAUACUAUUGAUAGCGUCCCCGAUAUGUACCCCACAACCAUUUAAAAACUCAAGUUUGACCAUUAGUUUAGAGCUGACUCGGAGUCUAAUCGGUGAAUAGGACGAUAAAGUAGCAUGUAAUAUUAAGCAAUGCAUAACGUAAGCAGACACGAAAGAGUGCGACCUCUCUUGUGGACCCGUGUAGUCGUCGAGGUCAUCUUUUCGGUUGAUGAUGGUAAUGCAGUUUUCAUGGCUGCCGGCGGCGGGGAAGAAGAUCUGAGGUGGCGAAACAAAAUCUGGAGGCCGGAUCCCUGCUGUGCUGGACCCUUCUGUCGUUGGAGCAGCGGAGUUGGGCUGGACAAUGGCGCAGCAGGAGCGGGACAAACCACACAAGGUUUUCUUUGACAACUAUCUAUAAGAGAAGUAAUUUUGUAAGGGCUCGGUUGAAUUGGAGGAUUCCAACAAUGUAGGGAUAGGAAAUAGACAGGAAUAGGAUAGGAAUGCAGGUGCAAAACAAAGAAUUUAAAAACACAGGAUUUCUGCCAAUCUGGGUGUUUGAUUCACAACAAUUGGAAGAUCACAGGAUGCAAAGAAGCAUGGUGAGAUUAAGUCAAACCAUAAGAAAAUGUACGUUUAUAAUGCUAUUAUGCUACUAUCUCUUAGUCUUCUGCUUCGUGAAUAGGAAUUUGAAAAGGAGGACAAGUGAAAAUUAAAAUUCAUAUGUUUUUUCUUUCAAGGAGACACUAAAGGAACAAAUCCGUGUGCUUAAUGGACAAUAUAUAUAACAUGUAGAGCAAAAAAGAGAUGCAACAAGUGUACAACCUCUUUGGCGAAGCCAUGUCGAUCUCAGCAUGAUUGGGUUGGCAGGUCAGGAUGCUCCGGCUGACUUUGCUGUCGAAGGAGGGGAAGAAGAUCUUAGGCGUCUGGAGAUGGAGCCCGAGGUACUGCUCCACUGUGAUGGAGGGUUUCGUCGUUGGAGCAGAUCCGGUGAGUUGUACGACGCCGAGGCUGAAGUAGGACAAGAGAGACAACGAACAACCUUAACCUGAGUGGAAUUCUAAUAGCAUCUCCAAUACAUGAUGUAAAAUACAUAACCACAAAGUGCUAGAUGUCAAAUACAUCAGCCGCUCAUCUCUGAACUUAACUGUCGAAACUGAAUUAACUGUUGAAACUGAACUUAACUGUCGAAACUGAAUUUUGCUGUCGAAACUGAACGCACUAGCAAGGUGAGGCUACACGUCGGUCGACUGACUUUUUCAUCUCUGGUCAGUAGAUUUUGUAGCCGUUGGAUACGAAAUCAAGGGCCUGCAGUUCAUCUUCAACCUACACCCCCCUGUGCCGCCAGCCACCACCGGCCAAACAGCAGCCCCCCGCCGCCCGCGGCCGGCGGUGCGCCGCCCCGCCCGCCCCGAAAACACUCCGCACCGCCGGUCCGCCGCCGCCCCGGCCAUCCCUCUAGCCCCCCUCCCCCGUGCCGAGCUUUUUCUCCGGCAAUCCCCACGCCACCGCCCCGCCAACGCCCCGCCACCGCCGGCGACCACCACCCCCACCCUGAACCCUAAGAUAGAUAGUGGGGUACCUCUCCGGUGAGCCCCCCUCCCUGCUNNNNNNNNNNNNNNNNNNNNNNNNNNNNNNNNNNNNNNNNNNNNNNNNNNNNNNNNNNNNNNNNNNNNNNNNNNNNNNNNNNNNNNNNNNNNNNNNNNNNNNNNNNNNNNNNNNNNNNNNNNNNNNNNNNNNNNNNNNNNNNNNNNNNNNNNNNNNNNNNNNNNNNNNNNNNNNNNNNNNNNNNNNNNNNNNNNNNNNNNNNNNNNNNNNNNNNNNNNNNNNNNNNNNNNNNNNNNNNNNNNNNNNNNNNNNNNNNNNNNNNNNNNNNNNNNNNNNNNNNNNNNNNNNNNNNNNNNNNNNNNNNNNNNCGAGCCACCCUCCCCCACCCCCUGAAAAUCGACUGACCCAAAAGUCGAUUCAGUCGACUGAAGUGUAGCUAAAUUGGAGCAGCAUCACAAGCAAGAGCAAGAGCGAGAGCAGCAGCGCGAGCAAGAGCAAUAGCAAGAGCAGACCAGGCAGGGGACCGAGAGCAAGAGCAGAGCAGCAGCGCGAGCGAGAGCUAAAGCAGCAGCAGCUCCUACUGAUGUGGACGUCACCGCCGAGGGAGCGACGCCGUGGAGGAAGUGGCCGGCGACGCCGCCAUGGAUGGAGCCGCGCCGUGUCGGCUCGGGACCGAGCGCCGGCAGCACCGUGAGAUCGAAUCAAGAAGAAAAUACGGGGAUUAGUGUACAACCUCUUUGGUGGCGCCGAUUAGGCUGCAGCUUCAUCCGAGGAAACGGUGAUGAUGAUGCUCUUCCGAUGGUGCAGGUGAAGACGGCGGUGUGGGAAUGGAGGUGGCACGAAAGACGAGGGGAACAUCGGGGCAGCUCCUUGGAGGUGGAGGACGGGGUGGCUGAACCGGCGGGACCACGAGAUCGAUGAUGGAUCCUCAUCCGGUACGGUGGAUGAGGGACGUCGAGGUGUUGUCGUGGACGACAUUGUCGGGGAAGAGGCUCCGGCUGGGUGGCGGACGGAGCAUGGUGUGGGGUUUCGUCACGGGUUUUCGUAGCCUAAGUGUACGAAUUGGUGGGCGGAUGGGAUGGUAGUGGGGAACCAUGGCUUAGGGACGCGCUUGUCCGAAAUGUGGGGUAAGUUACGAAAGUACCCCCACCGAUUUGAGGCGCUUCUUUCGGUUCAGGGGUACCACGGGCAUUUCACGUGUCGGGAUUUCACAGGAGGUGGGAGUUUUCGCGCGCGUUGUAAUUUCGGAAUAGCAAGGCGCGGGUUGAGAUGGAGGGAGUUGUCGGAGCACAACGAGACAAAGAUAUAUCUUAAAUAUUUCGGGCUAACCAAGCGCAGGUUGAAAUUUCCGAACAAACCUAACAUGUACUGUACCAAAUCAAUGCGCACUACAAAUGUCAUUCAAAACUUUGAACUCAUGUUAUGUUCAAUUAAAAUAUUUCGCUACGUGUAUAAUGCAUGCAACCUACUACUCAAAUGAACGUUUUAGUGCAUUCCAAACAUAUAUACUACCGCUUCAAUAUGAACUAAAUUUGAAUUUGUUUAUCUAUUUGAAUAAGAUCUACAAUAAUGAUUGUUGUGAAGUUAAAGCAUUUGAAUUUGUUUCUCUGUUUUAAUAAGAUCUACAAUCAUCAUUAUUGUCAAGUUAAACCAUCGUUUGUGUAUUAUCUUCACAGCACACCACAUGAUUAGUCUCGACUUACAUAUGAACUAUGUGUACUAUAUGAACUCGAACUCGAUUUUUUGAAUCCAUGUUAUUUUGAUUUCAAAUCACAUUACAUUUAUAGCUCUAGCUAGAUCUUCAUAAUCUAAACCAUGUCUCAUAUGUAUAAUGUGUUUAUCACAUUAUGUAUGGUGCCCCCCCUACGCCUACAAGUAUUUAGAUGUGAGUUGCAAAUGGCACACAUUACCACAAAUUCAAAUAAAAUGUGAGAAUGUUCGAUACAUAGUAUUGUCUAGAUUGUUCGAUAUUUAGUUGUAAGAUGCAAAUGCCACACAUUAUCACAAAUUCAAAUAAAAUGUGAGAUUGUUUGAUGUAUAGUAUGGUUUAGAUUGUUUAAAAUUUAGCUGUGAGUUGCAAAUGCCAUGCAUUAUCACAUUAUGGUAUAACAUGUGCACAACACGUGUAUCACCACUAUAUUCAUGCAUGCAAUGUUUAAAACACUAUGAUCUCCUAUUCAAAUAUAUGAAUCCGCUUUCAUAUCAAAUUAUGAUAUUUGUUAGUCUCUUACACCCACACAAUCCUCUAACCUUUGUAGCUACCACUAACUUUCUCUCAUGCAUGGACACGCCCUCCUCGCCCUCCCCUCCCUCGGCAUUCUAUCCACUGGGCACAUACAUUUUUUUCUUUAGGUCGUUCUCCCAGAGUCUCCACAACUCCUUUUCGACACACAUCGAUCGAUAAACCUCUCAAGCGAUGCCUGCCUACAACAUACACACACACCUUCAAUCUCCUCCUUUAUGUGUCCUUGCCUCGUGUCUCUCAUACGGCCACACACACGUGUAAACUCUCGCCCCUCUUUUCAUCAAUCUCAUAACCGCACACUCCUCCCCUAUCUAGCUAGUAGUUGGGCCUCUCGCACCACCUCCUAGCUCCAUUCUCUCUGUCUAUCCGUCUCGCUGGGCCUUAUUUGCCUCUAACAAAUGGACGUACACUGACCGAUCUCUCGCUAUGCAUAUAGCUAGCUAGGUCCUUAUAACUCGUUUUUACCCACGCAUCGAUCUAUCUACCUCAUUAGUUGUGUCUCUCCCUUCCUCCGACAAACAACAAUUGAUCUACCGAUCUAGUUAGGUUUGCUUACCAAACACAUGGUUCCCCUUCAUCAUCCAUGGAUGCGUCCCGACAGAUCUAUCACACACAGGCACACACAGAAACGCAUCCCCACUCUUAUUGAUAACAUUGCAGUUCCACGCUCAGUUUGUCUAGUAGGCCUCUCCCACCAUCUCCGAGAAGCAACUCCAUCACCCAUCCAGCACUCUACCCCUCUCCCUCCCUCUCUCUCUCCUCUCUCUCUCUCCCAUCAUAUUUCCCGUCCUUCAGUUAUGUAUGGAUGUCGACCGAUCUCCCUCAAGACAUAGCUGGGUCUCUCCUUCUCAACACAUAUACGAGUCGUUCUACCUAUAUAGUUAGGCAUCUGCCUACCCCGCCCACCCCCUCCCCCCACACACACCGAUACAUUGAGCGCUCUAGUCAUGUCUCCCUGCCACACACAAACUUGACAUGUGCCCUCUAAUGUUCCGGUAGGCCAGUCGCCCUAUAUCUUUGACUUGCACACACACACAAUUUCGAUGGCUCUCUUCAUCGAUCUCGCACCCACCCACUUGAUCCUCUCUUCGACUCUAUCGAUAGCUAUGACCCCUCCCUCUCUUCUCGUGGAUUGCCCGACCCUCCAUGUAUGAUAUGGAUAGGCCUCCAUUUCACACACAUUGCAUGCAAAAUUUUGUUUGAGAUGUCAUCGACACAUAUUCCCACAAAUAAUUCACAAAAUCAACCCCCACCCUACCCCCACCCCGACCCCAAAACAAAAAACACUCACGAACGCGGAUUGUAUGUCUCACACACACCCACGUAGGUGGGGGAUGUGCACGAAGAGAAGAGGUGCAUGCACGACGCACGUACUCCCGUCUCUUUCCCAACCACACCCGCGCGGGUACACGGUGGAGCUCAUUUCUGUACGAAAAAGACUGCCCACGUGGUAAUUUGGCACGUGUACUGGUUGUCCACUUGGUGGAGGGAGGAUCGUCUACCACGGGUGAACAAACAAAUUGCGACUUGACGCAUUAUGUUAAAUUAAAAAAAAGAGGCAAACCAUGUGGGGCCUACCUUAGAGGCAAGGCUCUAUACACUGGAGUACUUUUGAUGUGUCCCUUCAACUCGUAGAACAAGGAGAAGCUUGCUUAGUAUGUUGUCUCCCCCGCCCACGGGCACUGUGGCUCGCAGGAUGAGGUGAAGCUUGCUCCGCCUUACGCCCGCUCCCUCGCCCAUGCGCGCGGUGGCUCGUAGGCGAGGAGAAAAAUUUACUAUUCCGUCCGUUUACUCCUCAUCCCUACUACCUUGGUUAUAGAGAUUAUAUCAUAUUGUUUGGAAUAUAUAUGUCCUUUAGUAGAUUUCAAUAUGUACUACUAGUACAUACUCCAAACACUAAUGUAUAUAGGCAUAUUUUAGAGUGUAGAUUCACUCAUUUUGCUCCGUAUGUAGCACUCUCCCUCGCCCCUCGACCCUCGCCCAUGUGGUGGACGUGCAUCAAUUCAUUCAGUCUCAUAUAGACAGAACAAUAUAUACUGCACUACCAUUAUUGCUCAACUUCCCGAAGAGGCGAAGAGCCAAUCGCAAGGUUAAUAUUUUGGAGAUGCCAAGUGCAAGGUUAUAGGAGAACGAGUAGUAGGUGCCGCGUCAUUUAUAAAUAAAGUUUUUUUCUUCAGUGGCACGUACGCAAUAUGAUAGGUUCAUAUGGGGAGAAAAGGAAACCGCUCCACUAUAUACAUAGUCAGGACGGGCCAGCCUACAUGGUUGCUUGCUGGGGUUGCUCUCUUCACACUCUCUCGCACAAAACAACUGUGGCCACAUCUUAACAUCCCAGCGGAUAAUGUCCGCUUGGGGAAGGGGUGGAUGCUUAGUGUAGAUGCAGUGGCCGUCGCCGACGGCGAAAACCCACUGUCGGCACGUCCCGAUCAGGGGUCCCCGCCGUUCUCUCUCACAAAGCUGGUGAGGUUGCCUUCGUCCCUUGCUCACUAACGCGACAUGGGCAGCUGCCACCUCCCGCCGCCCUCCUCAAGGUUGAGCUACGUCCCUCAAGUACAACUCCCUUUACAGCCGGCUUGCACCACUGCUCCAGCUGCCCACAUCACUCCCUGUGGAUAUUUCUCUACUUCUUUGCCCCGCACGUACCUCUACUGGCUUCUAUGUACUGUAUUUGUGAUGAGUUUAUGUCUCAUCAACUAGUCCCAGUAAUCUUAUUCUAAUCACGCUUCUUCAAUUUCUUUGCCACAGGGAUGCUCAUCUCGAUUUUGUUAAAACUGCACAAAAUGAUCCGAUGGUCAAAAGGUUGCAAACUUCAUUUCUUAGGAAGCCCGAACAUUGCCAACAAAUUGAAGCCUGGUUAGGGUUCACGGUUCAAGGGCUAGGGACUGCAUGGAUCUUUUUUCUUUAGCUGCCUCUGUUCCAAAAUAAGUGUCAACUUUGGUAGUAGUACAACUUUGUACUAAAGUUUGCAUGAAGUUGAGACACUUAUUUUGGAACGGAAGGAGUACAUAUUUGCUAUGAUCUAUCAAUCAUUGAGAUGCAAUAGCAUGCAUGUUAGUCUCCUUUAUAUUUGAUGAAAUGUUGCAACGGGCAACCUUGGACGGAAGAUACAUGUAACAGAAGCUGGAAGCUUCAUAGCAUUGUAAAAAUUUAUCUCGCUGAUAAAUUACAGUACGUACUAUACUAGUACUUCCUCCGUUCCUAAAUAUAAGUCUUUGUAGAGAUUUCACCAUGAACCACAUGCGGAUGUAUAUAGAUGCAUUUUAAGUGUAGAUUCAUUCAUUUUGUUCUGUAUGUAGUUCACCUAGUGGAAUCUCUACAAAGACUUAUCUACUAGUAAUAGCUAGCCCCCACUACUAGGAAUUCUCUAUCCUAUCCUUGAGCCACAUCAUCAAAAUUAAUGUAGCCGUUAGAUGAGCUAAAUCAGUCCAUAAUAGCUGUCAGAUCUAGAUGUUGAGAGGCUCCGCACUAAGCCACAUGCAAGCAUGCAGAAAUACCGUGGCAUGCAUGUGAGUGGGUUUUAAAUCACAUCAACAUGUCUGCAUGCAAGCAUGCACUGGUAGCAUGCAUGGAAGUGAGCUUUUAAGUCCCAUUAACAUGUCAAAAAGAAAAAUAUAAUCCCAUUAUGCAGUAGGAGUUGGCUGAUCUUUUUUCCUUAUGUGGGAUGAUCUACAUGAUGAUGGGAGUUUAUUUAGUUUGGCUACCACAUUUGUCAUGCGGUUAUAGAGUUUUUUUAGUUCUAUGAAAUCGACAAUUUUGCGCAGAGAGAUAUACGGUUGUUCCGCGGCAACGCGCGGGGACUCAUCUAGUAAUAUUUAGGAACGAAGGGAGUACUAUGUAAAGAGUUAGGUGUCGCAUGGUGAUAGUGUGAGGUGGGCCAUGUAAUCACUGAGCCUGCGUGUUUUCACUGCUCUUGCACUCCUCCGCUGUAAGAAUGGAGAAAAUUGUAAUCUAGUAGUAGUACCUCCUUUCGCCGAAAGCGUGGGACAUAUAGCAGUCCUACCACCUCAGUAAUAAACACCAAUGAGCUAUCAAAUCACAUAGACCCAGCAGUAAGUUGGACGGACGAAGCAACCAUCACUCUUGCGCCAGUGAGAGGUCAUGUCCUCUCUGCCCGAGCAUGAAUGCGGAACCGAUUCUAUGGAGCAGCGCCGACCGUUUCAGGCGGGAAGCGCGUGCGGGCGAUGGAGGGGCUUUGGGUGGGCCACGCUGGUCAGGAGCGGGCGUGGCAGCUGUCCGCAUGUCCCUACCGAACACGCUCGGAAACGAGAGGAUGCAUCGACUCUCGCGGCUAAAAUCAUACACUACACACCAUCUCUCUGUAGGAGUAGGUCGAUCUGUCGCUCUCUCUAACACAUGCAUGCUGUUAAACACACACACGCACACGCACACUCCUUGGUCCCAUUGCACCUUCUAACGUGACUUAUUACACCUAGACGGUGGGAGUAGUAAGUAUACGAGAUACGGUGGCACACUGACUUAAGUCGAAUACAAGUGCCCAAAAUCUGUGUGCAUGUUAUAAUAAGGAUUCACUUAAAAUAGUACGUGAGCGAACAGAGGGAUCAAUUGGACAGUGUUCCCGAGCAGUAGCGAGAUGUGUGAGGUAAGAUACACCGCUGGUGCUUUUAAUUUUUCUUAUUAAUUUGUUUGUUUCACCCUCUGACUGGUGGGACCCAAUGUACUACGUGGAGAGAGGUAAGGUGACUAAGGCUGCAUUAUUUCUGCACCACUAUGGAUAGUCUUACCACCAAAGCCACAUGACACGAUUAUGAUUGAAAUCCCAAUGACUCCCACACACACACAAAAAAAACACG
rnacentral:lncRNA from 1 species